UACGUAGGGGGCAAGCGUUGUCCGGAUUUAUUGGGCGUAAAGAGCGUGUAGGCGGCCGCACAGGUCCGUUGUGAAAACUGGAGGCUUAACCUUCAGACGUCGAUGGAAACCAUCCAGCUAGAGUCCGGAAGAGGAGAGUGGAAUUCCCGGUGUAGCGGUGAAAUGCGCAGAUAUCGGGAAGAACACCCGUGGCUAAGGCGGCUCUCUAGUACGGUACUGACGCUGAGACGCGAAAGCGUGGGGAGCGAACAGG
rnacentral:rRNA from 1 species